rnacentral:rRNA from 1 species
UACGUAGGGUGCAAGCGUUAAUCGGAAUUACUGGGCGUAAAGCGUGCGCAGGCGGUUUUGUAAGUCUGACGUGAAAUCCCCGGGCUCAACCUGGGAAUUGCGUUGGAGACUGCAAGGCUGGAGUCUGGCAGAGGGGGGUAGAAUUCCACGUGUAGCAGUGAAAUGCGUAGAGAUGUGGAGGAACACCGAUGGCGAAGGCAGCCCCCUGGGUCAAGACUGACGCUCAUGCACGAAAGCGUGGGGAGCAAACCGG